rnacentral:rRNA from 1 species
GACAGCAGCAGCCGCGGUAAUACGGAGGGUGCAAGCGUUAAUCGGAAUUACUGGGCGUAAAGCGCACGCAGGCGGUCUGACAAGUCAGAUGUGAAAUCCCCGGGCUUAACCUGGGAACUGCAUUUGAAACUGUCAGGCUGGAGUCUUGUAGAGGGGGGUGGAAUUCCAGGUGUAGCGGUGAAAUGCGUAGAGAUCUGGAGGAAUACCGGUGGCGAAGGCGGCCCCCUGGACAAAGACUGACGCUCAGGUGCGAAAGCGUGGGGAGCAAACAGGAUUAGAUACCCGCGUAGUCCCUGUCUCUUAUAA